rnacentral:rRNA from 1 species
UACGUAGGGCGCAAGCGUUAUCCGGAAUUAUUGGGCGUAAAGAGCUCGUAGGCGGUUUGUCGCGUCUGCCGUGAAAGUCCGGGGCUCAACUCCGGAUCUGCGGUGGGUACGGGCAGACUAGAGUGCAGUAGGGGAGACUGGAAUUCCUGGUGUAGCGGUGAAAUGCGCAGAUAUCAGGAGGAACACCGAUGGCGAAGGCAGGUCUCUGGGCUGACACUGACGCUCACGCACGAAAGCGUGGGGAGCAAACAGG